rnacentral:misc_RNA from 1 species
AGUCGUAACAAGGUCUCCGUUGGUGAACCAGCGGAGGGAUCAUUACCGAAGUUACUCUUCAUACCCUUUUGUGAACACUACCCCAUUGCCGCGCGUUGCCUCGGCGGGGGAGGUCCGGGGGAGGGUUGCGCUCCGGCGCCUCCCCACCCUGGGCCCCCCGCCGGCCGCGCCGAACUCUUCAUUUGCAAAGCGGACUGUACGUUCUGAUUAUAUCUUGAAAAAACAAGUCAAAACUUUCAACAACGGAUCUCUUGGUUCUGGCAUCGAUGAAGAACGCAGCGAAAUGCGAUAAGUAAUGUGAAUUGCAGAAUUCAGUGAAUCAUCGAAUCUUUGAACGCACAUUGCGCCCGGCAGCAAUCUGCCGGGCAUGCCUGUCCGAGCGUCAUUUCUGCCCUCGAGCGCGGUUCGGUCCCUAGCGGGCCGGCCGCCGCCCGGUGUUGGGGCGCUGCGGGCCCUCGUGCCCGCAGGCCCUGAAAUGAAGUGGCGGUCCCGCCGCGGCGCCCCCUGCGUAGUAGUAAAGCACCUCGCAUCGGGACCCGGCGGAGGCCAGCCGUCGAACCUCUUCUAUUGAUGGUUUGACCUCGGAUCAGGUAGGGUUACCCGCUGAACUUAAGCAUAUCAAUAAGCGGAGGAAAAGAAACCAACAGGGAUUGCCCCAGUAACGGCGAGUGAAGCGGCAACAGCUCA